rnacentral:rRNA from 1 species
CUUAAUACAUGCAAGUCGAACGGUUACAGCAAAGUGACGAGUGGCGCACGGGUGAGUAACGCGUACAUAACAUACCUUUAACUGGCGAAUAGCCUUGGGAAACUGAGAGUAAUACGCCAUAACAUUGUAGCUUGGCAUCAGGCAGCAAUUAAAGUUCCGGCGGUUAGAGAUUGAUGUGCGUUGGAUUAGAUAGUUGGUGAGGUAACGGCUCACCAAGUCAACGAUCCAUAGGGGGCGUGAGAGCGUGGUCCCCCACACGGGUACUGAGACACGGACCCGACUCCUACGGGAGGCAGCAGUAAGGAAUAUUGGUCAAUGGGGGCAACCCUGAACCAGCCAUGCCGCGUGCGGGAUGAAGGCGUUCUGCGUCGUAAACCGCUUUUAGAGGGGAAUAAAUCCCGAUACGUGUAUCGGACUGAAGGUACCCUCGGAAUAAGCACCGGCUAACUCCGUGCCAGCAGCCGCGGUAAUACGGAGGGUGCAAGCGUUAUCCGGAAUCACUGGGUUUAAAGGGUGCGUAGGCGGUUUUGUAAGUCGGUAUUGAAAGUUUGCAGCUCAACUGUGAAAUUGGUAACGAUACUGCAAGACUUGAAUC